rnacentral:rRNA from 1 species
AGAGUUCGAUCCUGGCUCAGGAUGAACGCUGGCGGCGCGCCUAACACAUGCAAGUCGAACGAUUAAAGCACCUUCGGGUGUGUAUAAAGUGGCGAACGGCUGAGUAACACGUGGGCAACCUGCCCCUCUCAUUGGGAUAGCCACGGGAAACCGUGGAUAAUACCGAAUACUUCGAGACUUCCGCAUGGAAGACUCGAGAAAGCUCCGGCGGAGAGGGAUGGGCCCGCGGCCUGUUAGCUUGUUGGUGGGGUAACGGCCUACCAAGGCAAUGAUGGGUAGCUGGGUUGAGAGACCGACCAGCCAGAUUGGGACUGAGACACGGCCCAGACUCCUACGGGAGGCAGCAGUGGGGAAUCUUGCACAAUGGGCGAAAGCCUGAUGCAGCGACGCCGCGUGCGGGAUGAAGGCCUUCGGGUUGUAAACCGCUUUCAGCAGGGACGAGGCGAAAGUGACGGUACCUGCAGAAGAAGCCCCGGCUAACUACGUGCCAGCAGCCGCGGUAAUACGUAGGGGGCAAGCGUUAUCCGGAUUCAUUGGGCGUAAAGCGCUCGUAGGCGGUCUGUUAGGUCGGGAGUUAAAUCCGGGGGCUCAACCCCCGUUCGCUCCCGAUACCGGCAGACUUGAGUUUGGUAGGGGAAGGUGGAAUUCCUAGUGUAGCGGUGGAAUGCGCAGAUAUUAGGAAGAACACCAGUGGCGAAGGCGGCCUUCUGGGCCAUAACUGACGCUGAGGAGCGAAAGCUAGGGGAGCAAACAGGAUUAGAUACCCUGGUAGUCCUAGCCGUAAACGAUGGACACUAGGUGUGGGGGAAUAUUUCUUCCGUGCCGCAGCUAACGCAUUAAGUGUCCCGCCUGGGGAGUACGGCCGCAAGGCUAAAACUCAAAGGAAUUGAC